AUGUUAUUUCAAUUCCUUUUAUUCAAUAUUAGUUCAAGUUCAAAUAUCCAAAGUUUCAAAAAAACAAAAAUAUUCAUCAUUCCAAAUUUAAGAUCAAACAUUCAUCCAAUUUUUACAUAUCCAAAUUACAUUCUCCAUUUAAGCUUCACAAGUCCAAAUACAAUGACCAUUUUGCUUAAGCCUAACUAUCACUCUCAUGCCAUAAUCCAUCUUCUUUCUUUCAAACGGACAAUGCCUACACCAUGA